rnacentral:lncRNA from 1 species
AAGGCCGGGGCAGAAGAGGAAAAACAAGCUGGAUGUGGCAUGGUAAAGGUAGCUGAUGGGUUAGCUUGUGAGACCCUCUGGGGACUCUCAGAAUCACUGAACAAGCAAAGAGGAGGUGUCUUUCAUGAGCAGCACCAGUAACAUAUUCCUGCUUACUGCCAAGGGAACCCUACUUGUACCACCAGAAAGGCUGUAAAUACCUGGGGAAAUUGGAUCAUGGGAGACGGGAAGGAAGGAAUAAAAGUAAAUUUGUUGGAUGUUUAUGCACCUGGCAUGGUGUCAGGUCUGGAUUAGGAUAGCAGCUUCAGAGGUGGAGAGAAGUGAAUGGUCCCAGGGCUAGUCAGGAAGUUGAAGGGAGAAGACAGGAUCAAUGUGGGAGUGAUACGAUGGCCACCUCUUUCAGCCUGUGCAAUUGGUGUAGGACCCUUGCUCUCAGAUCCUGCUACUGAUACGAGGAAUGUAGCAGCGAGAGACACAAAAGCGAACCCUCUUCCUGUGGGAUUCCAGCCUAGGAGGGAAGACGGCGAACAAGAAGCGACAAGUGUGUUGCAUGCUACCGAGAGAUUCUGGCUGUUGACCACUUGGGAUGUUACUGUGCACUGGACACACACAAACUGAUGGAACUGAGGGGAUCAUGGAUGGAACUGGAGGCCAUUAUCCUUAACAAAGUUAUGCAGGAACAGAAAACCGAAUACUGCAUGUUCUCACUUAUAAGUAGGAGCUAAAUGGUAAGAACACAUGGACACAGAGGGAAACAACAGACACUGGGGCCUAUCUGAGGGUGGAGGGUUGGGGAGGACAGGACAAGGAAAAAUUACUAAUGGGUACUAGGCUUAACACCUGAGUGAUGAAAUAAUAUGUACAACAAACCCCUGUGACAUGAAUUUAACU